rnacentral:rRNA from 6 species
UUAAGGGCGCACGGUGGAUGCCUUGGCACUAGAAGCCGAUGAAGGACGUUACUAACGACGAUAUGCUUUGGGGAGCUGUAAGUAAGCUUUGAUCCAGAGAUUUCCGAAUGGGGAAACCCAGCAUGAGUUAUGUCAUGUUAUCGAUAUGUGAAUACAUAGCAUAUCAGAAGGCACACCCGGAGAACUGAAACAUCUUAGUACCCGGAGGAAGAGAAAGAAAAUUCGAUUCCCUUAGUAGCGGCGAGCGAAACGGGAAGAGCCCAAACCAACAAGCUUGCUUGUUGGGGUUGUAGGACACUCUAUACGGAGUUACAAAGGACGACAUUAGACGAAUCAUCUGGAAAGAUGAAUCAAAGAAGGUAAUAAUCCUGUAGUCGAAAAUGUUGUCUCUCUUGAGUGGAUCCUGAGUACGACGGAGCACGUGAAAUUCCGUCGGAAUCUGGGAGGACCAUCUCCUAAGGCUAAAUACUCUCUAGUGACCGAUAGUGAACCAGUACCGUGAGGGAAAGGUGAAAAGCACCCCGGAAGGGGAGUGAAAUAGAACCUGAAACCGUGUGCUUACAAGUAGUCAGAGCCCGUUAAUGGGUGAUGGCGUGCCUUUUGUAGAAUGAACCGGCGAGUUACGAUUUGAUGCAAGGUUAAGCAGUAAAUGUGGAGCCGUAGCGAAAGCGAGUCUGAAUAGGGCGUUUAGUAUUUGGUCGUAGACCCGAAACCAGGUGAUCUACCCUUGGUCAGGUUGAAGUUCAGGUAACACUGAAUGGAGGACCGAACCGACUUACGUUGAAAAGUGAGCGGAUGAACUGAGGGUAGCGGAGAAAUUCCAAUCGAACCUGGAGAUAGCUGGUUCUCUCCGAAAUAGCUUUAGGGCUAGCCUCAAGUGAUGAUUAUUGGAGGUAGAGCACUGUUUGGACGAGGGGCCCCUCUCGGGUUACCGAAUUCAGACAAACUCCGAAUGCCAAUUAAUUUAACUUGGGAGUCAGAACAUGGGUGAUAAGGUCCGUGUUCGAAAGGGAAACAGCCCAGACCACCAGCUAAGGUCCCAAAAUAUAUGUUAAGUGGAAAAGGAUGUGGCGUUGCCCAGACAACUAGGAUGUUGGCUUAGAAGCAGCCAUCAUUUAAAGAGUGCGUAAUAGCUCACUAGUCGAGUGACACUGCGCCGAAAAUGUACCGGGGCUAAACAUAUUACCGAAGCUGUGGAUUGUCCUUUGGACAAUGGUAGGAGAGCGUUCUAAGGGCGUUGAAGCAUGAUCGUAAGGACAUGUGGAGCGCUUAGAAGUGAGAAUGCCGGUGUGAGUAGCGAAAGACGGGUGAGAAUCCCGUCCACCGAUUGACUAAGGUUUCCAGAGGAAGGCUCGUCCGCUCUGGGUUAGUCGGGUCCUAAGCUGAGGCCGACAGGCGUAGGCGAUGGAUAACAGGUUGAUAUUCCUGUACCACCUAUAAUCGUUUUAAUCGAUGGGGGGACGCAGUAGGAUAGGCGAAGCGUGCGAUUGGAUUGCACGUCUAAGCAGUAAGGCUGAGUAUUAGGCAAAUCCGGUACUCGUUAAGGCUGAGCUGUGAUGGGGAGAAGACAUUGUGUCUUCGAGUCGUUGAUUUCACACUGCCGAGAAAAGCCUCUAGAUAGAAAAUAGGUGCCCGUACCGCAAACCGACACAGGUAGUCAAGAUGAGAAUUCUAAGGUGAGCGAGCGAACUCUCGUUAAGGAACUCGGCAAAAUGACCCCGUAACUUCGGGAGAAGGGGUGCUCUUUAGGGUUAACGCCCAGAAGAGCCGCAGUGAAUAGGCCCAAGCGACUGUUUAUCAAAAACACAGGUCUCUGCUAAACCGUAAGGUGAUGUAUAGGGGCUGACGCCUGCCCGGUGCUGGAAGGUUAAGAGGAGUGGUUAGCUUCUGCGAAGCUACGAAUCGAAGCCCCAGUAAACGGCGGCCGUAACUAUAACGGUCCUAAGGUAGCGAAAUUCCUUGUCGGGUAAGUUCCGACCCGCACGAAAGGCGUAACGAUUUGGGCACUGUCUCAACGAGAGACUCGGUGAAAUCAUAGUACCUGUGAAGAUGCAGGUUACCCGCGACAGGACGGAAAGACCCCGUGGAGCUUUACUGUAGCCUGAUAUUGAAAUUCGGCACAGCUUGUACAGGAUAGGUAGGAGCCUUUGAAACGUGAGCGCUAGCUUACGUGGAGGCGCUGGUGGGAUACUACCCUAGCUGUGUUGGCUUUCUAACCCGCACCACUUAUCGUGGUGGGAGACAGUGUCAGGCGGGCAGUUUGACUGGGGCGGUCGCCUCCUAAAAGGUAACGGAGGCGCUCAAAGGUUCCCUCAGAAUGGUUGGAAAUCAUUCAUAGAGUGUAAAGGCAUAAGGGAGCUUGACUGCGAGACCUACAAGUCGAGCAGGGUCGAAAGACGGACUUAGUGAUCCGGUGGUUCCGCAUGGAAGGGCCAUCGCUCAACGGAUAAAAGCUACCCCGGGGAUAACAGGCUUAUCUCCCCCAAGAGUUCACAUCGACGGGGAGGUUUGGCACCUCGAUGUCGGCUCAUCGCAUCCUGGGGCUGUAGUCGGUCCCAAGGGUUGGGCUGUUCGCCCAUUAAAGCGGUACGCGAGCUGGGUUCAGAACGUCGUGAGACAGUUCGGUCCCUAUCCGUCGUGGGCGUAGGAAAUUUGAGAGGAGCUGUCCUUAGUACGAGAGGACCGGGAUGGACAUACCUCUGGUGUACCAGUUGUCGUGCCAACGGCAUAGCUGGGUAGCUAUGUGUGGACGGGAUAAGUGCUGAAAGCAUCUAAGCAUGAAGCCCCCCUCAAGAUGAGAUUUCCCAACUUCGGUUAUAAGAUCCCUCAAAGAUGAUGAGGUUAAUAGGUUCGAGGUGGAAGCAUGGUGACAUGUGGAGCUGACGAAUACUAAUCGAUCGAAGACUUAAUC